CCAAAUUUUUAUAAAAUUCAAAUCCCAUUUAAUUAAGAAGUCAAGUGGGCAAGUGGGUAGAAAAGCACUCAAGUGUUUUGUGAUAUUUUGAAGAGUAUUGUGAGCUAUUCUAACCCCCAAACCGAUCCCCACACUCUCUCAUUCACUCUCAUCUGAUUUUUGAAGACUCUCUCAUAUGUUCUCUCAAUAUUCAACCUCAAGAACACCAAGGAAAACUUGGAGGCUAAGUCUUGGUCUAGGAAGUAUUUUCCCUAAGUUGGUUAGGGUUUUUGAAAGGUUUUGGAGGAGCCAAAGCCAAUAGGAAGGUCCAAACCUUAAGCAAGAACACCAAAGAGGUAAGAGCAAGGGCAAGGCAGAGCAGUGAGCGCUGGAGUCUUCCUUGCAAAUGUACAUGUGGACCGACCUUUUGGGAAGUCGUUUUACUUUUGGAAAUGUUGUGUAAUUUUCCUAAACUAGGCUCUCACUCUACUCUUUAUAAAACAUGUUUGUAACUAAAUGUUAAGUAUGGCCAUACGACUUUUUAAAAAGUUUUUUUUUUCUAUGGGUUUUUGAGACAUUUUGUUAAAUGAAAACAUUUAUA